GACAGAGGGUGCAAACGUUGUUCGGAAUUACUGGGCGUAAAGCGCGUGUAGGCGGCUCGGCAAGUCGGGUGUGAAAGCCCUGGGCUUAACCUAGGAAGUGCACUCGAAACUGCCAAGCUUGAGUUCUGGAGAGGAAGGCGGAAUUCUCGGUGUAGAGGUGAAAUUCGUAGAUAUCGAGAGGAACACCGGUGGCGAAGGCGGCCUUCUGGACCAUAACUGACGCUGAGGCGCGAAAGCCAGGGGAGCAAACGGG
rnacentral:rRNA from 1 species